CCUACGGGGGGCAGCAGUGAGGAAUAUUGGUCAAUGGGCGCGAGCCUGAACCAGCCAAGUAGCGUGAAGGAUGACUGCCCUAUGGGUGGUAAACUUCUUUUAUAAGGGAAUAAAGUGAAGCACGUGUGCCUUUUUGCAUGUACCUUAUGAAUAAGGAUCGGCUAACUCCGUGCCAGCAGCCGCGGUAAUACGGAGGAUCCGAGCGUUAUCCGGAUUUAUUGGGUUUAAAGGGAGCGUAGACGGGUUGUUAAGUCAGUUGUGAAAGUUUGCGGCUCAACCGUAAAAUUGCAGUUGAUACUGGCAGCCUUGAGUACAGUUGAGGUAGGCGGAAUUCGUGGUGUAGCGGUGAAAUGCUUAGAUAUCACGAAGAACUCCGAUUGCGAAGGCAGCUUACUAAACUGCCACUGACAUUGAUGCUCGAAAGUGUGGGUAUCAAACAGGAUUAGAUACCCUGGUAGUC
rnacentral:rRNA from 1 species